rnacentral:rRNA from 1 species
CGAAGGGGGCUAGCGUUGUUCGGAAUUACUGGGCGUAAAGCGCACGUAGGCGGAUUUGUAAGUCAGGGGUGAAAUCCCGGGGCUCAACCUCGGAACUGCCUUUGAUACUGCAAGUCUCGAGUCCGAUAGAGGCGAGUGGAAUUCCUAGUGUAGAGGUGAAAUUCGUAGAUAUUAGGAAGAACACCAGUGGCGAAGGCGGCUCACUGGAUCGGUACUGACGCUGAGGUGCGAAAGCGUGGGGAGCAAACAGG